ensembl:misc_RNA Metazoa_SRP Metazoan signal recognition particle RNA
GCCGGGCAUGGUGGCUCAUGCCUGUAAUCCCAGCUACUCAGGAGGCUGAGGUAGGAGACUCGCUUGAACCCAGGAAGCAGAAGUUGCAGUGAGCCGAGAUUGCACCACUGCACUCCAGCCUGGGCAACAGAGCGAGACUCUGUCUCAA